UACGUAGGGUGCGAGCGUUAAUCGGAAUUACUGGGCGUAAAGCGUGCGCAGGCGGUCUUGCAAGACAGAUGUGAAAUCCCCGGGCUUAACCUGGGAACUGCAUUUGUGACUGCAAGGCUGGAGUGCGGCAGAGGGGGGUGGAAUUCCACGUGUAGCAGUGAAAUGCGUAGAGAUGUGGAGGAACACCGAUGGCGAAGGCAGCCCCCUGGGUCAACACUGACGCUCAUGCACGAAAGCGUGGGGAGCAAACAGG
rnacentral:rRNA from 1 species